GAUGAAUGCUGGCGGCGUGCCUAACACAUGCAAGUCGAGCGGCAGCGCGAGGAGGUUCCUUCUUGGCGGCGAGCGUCGGACGGCUGAGUAUCGCGUGGGAACGUGCUCCAAAGUGAGGAAGAACUGCCCGAAAGGAUGGCUAAUACCGCAUAUGAUCUUCGAAUUAAAGUCUUCGGACGCGUUGGGAGCGGCCUGCGAUAGGUUAGAUAUUUGGUGAGGUAAUGGCUCACCAAGCUGACGAACUAUAGCUGGUCUGAGAGCAUGAUCAGGCAGACUGGGAGUGAGAGCCGGCCGAGACUCCUCGGGGAGGCAGCAGUGCGGAAUCUGCCACGACGGGCGAGAGCCUGAUGGAGCCACGCUGCGUGAAGGAUGAAGGCGCUAGGGUCGUAAACUUCUUUUAUAAUGGAAGAAUAUGACGGUAACUUAUGAAUAAGCACCGGCUAACUACGUG
rnacentral:rRNA from 1 species